rnacentral:rRNA from 1 species
AACGAACGCUGGCGGCAUGCCUAACACAUGCAAGUCGAACGAGACCUUCGGGCCUAGUGGCGCACGGGUGCGUACCGCGUGGGAACUUGCCCUUAGGUUCGGAAUAACUCCCCGAAAGGGGUGUUAAUACCGGUUAAUGUCUUCGGACCUAAGAUUUAUCGCUUUGGGAUGGGCCCGGGUUGGAUUCGCUAGUUGGUAGGGUAAUAGCCUAGCAUGGACAGGAUGCAUAGCUGGUCGGAGAGGAUGACUAGCCACGCUGGAACUGAGACACGGCCCAGACCCGGACGGAAGGGUGCAGUGGAGAAUAUUGGGCAAGGGGGGAAGGCCUGGUCCAGCAAUGCCGGGGGAGUGAUGAAGGCCUUAGGGUUGUAAAGCUCUUUGACCCGGGAUGAUAAUGACAGUACCGGGAGAAUAAGCACCGGCUAACUCCGUG